CGCACAUUGCGCCCUUUGGUAUUCCGAGGGGCACACCUGUUCGAGCGUCAUUUAAACCAUCAAGCACCGCUUGGUAUUGGACGUGGUCGGAGGACCCGUCCGCAACUGGUUGGCGGUGCCGUCCGGCUUCAAGCGUAUUAAACAUCUCGCUUUAGGAGCCUAUGGCGGUGCCUGCCAGGUAACCUCAACCCAAAGUUUGACCUCGGAUCAGGUGGGGAUACCCGCUGAACUUAA
rnacentral:misc_RNA from 1 species